rnacentral:rRNA from 1 species
GGUCAAGCUACAAAGGGCGUACGGUGGAUGCCUUGGCGCUAAGAGGCGAUGAAGGACGUGGUAAGCUGCGAUAAGCUUCGGGGAGCCGCUAAACAGGCUUUGAUCCGGAGAUUUCCGAAUGGGGAAACCCGCCUGGGGUCAUGCCCAGGCAUCUCAGGUUGAAUACAUAGGCCUGAGAGGCUAACCGGGGGAACUGAAACAUCUAAGUACCCCGAGGAAGAGAAAGAAAUUCGAUUCCCUGAGUAGUGGCGAGCGAAACGGGAAAUAGCCCAAACCGGCGGUUAGUAAUAACUGUCGGGGUUGUAGGGUCUGCUCGGUUUAGAGCCGGAGAGUUACCAAUCAACGUGCUAAUUGAAAGGUCUGGAAAGGCCUGCCAUAGUAGGUGAUAGCCCUGUAAGUGAAAGCACGUUGACUCUCAGCAGAUACCUGAGUACCACGGGACACGAGAAAUCCUGUGGGAAUCCGGGAGGACCAUCUCCCAAGGCUAAAUACUACUUAGCGACCGAUAGUGAACAAGUACCGUGAGGGAAAGGUGAAAAGAACCCCGAUAAGGGGAGUGAAAUAGUACCUGAAACCGUAUGCCUACAAGCAGUGGUAGGGCUAUGACUAUUCGUAAGAAUAGUAAUGCCUGACCGCGUGCCUUUUGCAUAAUGAGUCAGCGAGUUACUGUACGUGGCAAGGUUAAGCCGUGAGGUGGAGCCGAAGCGAAAGCGAGUCUGAAUAGGGCGUUGAGUCGCGUGUAGUAGACCCGAAGCCGGGUGAUCUACCCAUGGCCAGGUUGAAAGUCCGGUAACACGGACUGGAGGACCGAACCAGUGUUGGUUGAAAACAACUUGGAUGAGCUGUGGGUAGGGGUGAAAGGCUAAUCAAACCCGGAGAUAGCUGGUUCUCUCCGAAAUAUAUUUAGGUAUAGCCUUGCAAAUUAAGUGGCGGAGGUAGAGCACUGAAUAGACUAGGGGUCCUACCAGAUUACCAAAUCUAAUCAAACUCCGAAUACCGUCAACUGUUAUUGCAGGAGUCAGACUACGGGUGCUAAGAUUCGUGGUCGAAAGGGAAACAGCCCAGACCGCCAGCUAAGGUCCCAAAAUAUGUGCUAAGUGGGAAAGGAUGUGGGGUUACUUAGACAACCAGGAGGUUGGCUUAGAAGCAGCCAUCCUUUAAAGAAAGCGUAAUAGCUCACUGGUCAAGUGAUCCUGCGCCGAAAAUAUAUCGGGGCUCAAGCACAUUACCGAAGCUGCGGGUAUACACGCAAGUGUAUGCGGUAGGAGAGCAUUCUGCUAACCUGUGAAGUCAGACCGAAAGGACUGGUGGAGGACGCAGAAGAGCUUAUGCUGACAUGAGUAGCGAAAAAACAGGCGAGAAACCUGUUCGCCGAAAAUCUUAGGUUUCCUGGGCAAGGUUAAUCCUCCCAGGGUUAGUCGGUCCCUUAGUCGAGGCCGAAAGGCGUAGAUGAUGGAAAACAGGCAAACAUUCCUGUACCACUGGAAGGCGUUUGAGCAAAGGGGGGACGCAGAAGGGCAGGAUCAUCCGGGUGAUGGACGUCCCGGUUCAAGUCCGUAGGGGGGCAGGAUAGGCAAAUCCGUUCUGCCAUUAACCCCGAGAGGCGAUGAGGAGGGAGAAAUCCCAUAAACUGACCGAUCCCAUGCUGCCAAGAAAAGCCUCUAGCGAGCUAUUCUGGUGACCGUACCGCAAACCGACUCAGGUAGAUGGGGUGAAAAUCCUAAGGCGCUUGAGAGAACCCUCCCUAAGGAACUCGGCCAAUUAGCCCCGUAACUUCGGGAAAAGGGGCGCCCCGGUAACGUGUAGGGAUUUACUCCUGAAGCGUGAUGGGGUCGCAGAUAAAUGGCUGUGGCGACUGUUUAACAAAAACACAGGUCUCUGCAAAGUCGAUAAGACGACGUAUAGAGGCUGAUGCCUGCCCGGUGCCGGAAGGUUAAAGGGACUUGUCAUCGCAAGAGAAGCAGGGAACUGAAGCCCCGGUAAACGGCGGCCGUAACUAUAACGGUCCUAAGGUAGCGAAAUUCCUUGUCGGGUAAGUUCCGACCUGCACGAAUGGCAUAACGAUCGCGGCACUGUCUCGGGGAGGGACUCAGCGAAAUUGAAAUAGCGGUGAAGAUGCCGUCUACCCGCACCAAGACGGAAAGACCCCGUGCACCUUUACUGUAGCUUGGCAGUGGAUUUCGGGACAAUUUGUGUAGCAUAGGUGGGAGGCUUUGAAGUCGGGCCGCUAGGUUCGGUGGAGCCACCGUUGAAAUACCACCCUGAUUGUCUUGAGGUUCUAACCUGGGCCCGUAAUCCGGGUCAGGGACAUUGCCUGGUGGGCAGUUUGACUGGGGCGGUCGCCUCCUAAAGAGUAACGGAGGCGCACGAAGGUUCCCUCAGGCUGAUUGGAAACCAGCCAUCGAGUGCAAAGGCAUAAGGGAGCUUGACUGCGAGACUGACACGUCAAGCAGGUACGAAAGUAGGUCUUAGUGAUCCGGUGGUUCUGUAUGGAAGGGCCAUCGCUCAACGGAUAAAAGGUACGCCGGGGAUAACAGGCUUAUCGCAUCCAAGAGUUCACAUCGACGAUGCGGUUUGGCACCUCGAUGUCGGCUCAUCGCAUCCUGGGGCUGAAGUAGGUCCCAAGGGUUUGGCUGUUCGCCAAUUAAAGCGGUACGCGAGCUGGGUUCAAAACGUCGUGAGACAGUUUGGUCCCUAUCUGGUGUGGGCGCAGGAUCUUUGAGGGGGGCUGACCUUAGUACGAGAGGACCGGGUUGGACGAACCGCUAGUGUUCCAGUUGUCUCGCCAGAGGCAAUGGCUGGGUAGCUAUGUUCGGAAGAGAUAACCGCUGAAAGCAUCUAAGUGGGAAACUCGCCCCAAGAUAAGAUAUCCCACCGGUUUAACCGGUCUAAAGGCCCGUCGUAGACUACGACGUUGAUAGGCCGGGUGUGUAAGCACUGCAAGGUGUUUAGCUGACCGGUACUAAUCGGCCGUGAGGCUUGACCAU